CCGGGGUUGCAUGUCACUCUGCAGCCCGGGCCCCGGGGGUUGAUGGAUUUCAGUGUUUUAUAGGUUUGGGUUUAAAAAGAGGUGACCUCUGUUCUCCCCGGAUCAAUACACCCUUCUUAGCCGAGCGUGAUCGCCAAUAGUCCAUCAGUGCAGUCUCUGGAGAGCUUGAAGUCACUCGAAGAGGCCAACCGGCAUCCGUCACCAUGGACACCAGGUCACAGAGCUAACCUGCCUUUGUGGAGGAGGAGACCCAGUCCCAGAGAGGCCAGUGACCUGCCUGGGCCCACCCAGCAGAGUGGGGAUCCCCUCGAAGCAGUGGGAGCACCGACAUCUGGACCUUCCCACCUCUCUCUGAAGCCUGAGCUUCUACCUCUGCCCUGCAGCGCCCAGCAAGCCCGAGGAGCAGGACUGUGGCCUGACUGCCCCACUGCAG
rnacentral:lncRNA from 13 species